GCGAGGGUUGUCGAGCGGUCAAAGGCGCUGGACUUAAGAUCCAGUUUCGGAGGAAUUCGUGGGUUCAAAUCCCACCCCUUGCA
rnacentral:tRNA from 1 species